CGCUAGCUACAGGCUUAACACAUGCAAGUCGAGGGGCAGCAUGGUCUUAGCUUGCUAAGGCCGAUGGCGACCGGCGCACGGGUGAGUAACACGUAUCCAACCUGCCGUCUACUCUUGGACAGCCUUCUGAAAGGAAGAUUAAUACAAGAUGGCAUCAUGAGUCCGCAUGUUCACAUGAUUAAAGGUAUUCCGGUAGACGAUGGGGAUGCGUUCCAUUAGAUAGUAGGCGGGGUAACGGCCCACCUAGUCUUCGAUGGAUAGGGGUUCUGAGAGGAAGGUCCCCCACAUUGGAACUGAGACACGGUCCAAACUCCUACGGGAGGCAGCAGUGAGGAAUAUUGGUCAAUGGGCGAGAGCCUGAACCAGCCAAGUAGCGUGAAGGAUGACUGCCCUAUGGGUUGUAAACUUCUUUUAUAAAGGAAUAAAGUCGGGUAUGGAUACCCGUUUGCAUGUACUUUAUGAAUAAGGAUCGGCUAACUCCGUGCCAGCAGCCGCGGUAAUACGGAGGAUCCGAGCGUUAUCCGGAUUUAUUGGGUUUAAAGGGAGCGUAGAUGGAUGUUUAAGUCAGUUGUGAAAGUUUGCGGCUCAACCGUAAAAUUGCAGUUGAUACUGGAUAUCUUGAGUGCAGUUGAGGCAGGCGGAAUUCGUGGUGUAGCGGUGAAAUGCUUAGAUAUCACGAAGAACUCCGAUUGCGAAGGCAGCCUGCUAAGCUGCAACUGACAUUGAGGCUCGAAAGUGUGGGGUAUCAAACAGGAUUAGAUACCCUGGUAGUCCACACGGUAAACGAUGAAUACUCGCUGUUUGCGAUAUACUGCAAGCGGCCAAGCGAAAGCGUUAAGUAUUCCACCUGGGGAGUACGCCGGCAACGGUGAAACUCAAAGGAAUUGACGGGGGCCCGCACAAGCGGAGGAACAUGUGGUUUAAUUCGAUGAUACGCGAGGAACCUUACCCGGGCUUAAAUUGCAGAUGAAUUACGGUGAAAGCCGUAAGCCGCAAGGCAUCUGUGAAGGUGCUGCAUGGUUGUCGUCAGCUCGUGCCGUGAGGUGUCGGCUUAAGUGCCAUAACGAGCGCAACCCUUGUUGUCAGUUACUAACAGGUUCCGCUGAGGACUCUGACAAGACUGCCAUCGUAAGAUGUGAGGAAGGUGGGGAUGACGUCAAAUCAGCACGGCCCUUACGUCCGGGGCUACACACGUGUUACAAUGGGGGGUACAGAGGGCCGCUACCACGCGAGUGGAUGCCAAUCCCCAAAACCUCUCUCAGUUCGGACUGGAGUCUGCAACCCGACUCCACGAAGCUGGAUUCGCUAGUAAUCGCGCAUCAGCCACGGCGCGGUGAAUACGUUCCCGGGCCUUGUACACACCGCCCGUCAAGCCAUGGGAGCCGGGGGUACCUGAAGUGCGUAACCGCGAGGAGCGCCCUAGGGUAAAACUGG
rnacentral:rRNA from 1 species